rnacentral:rRNA from 1 species
GAUGAACGCUGGCGGCGUGCCUAAUACAUGCAAGUCGAGCGAACAGACGAGGAGCUUGCUCCUCUGACGUUAGCGGCGGACGGGUGAGUAACACGUGGAUAACCUACCUAUAAGACUGGGAUAACUUCGGGAAACCGGAGCUAAUACCGGAUAAUAUAUUGAACCGCAUGGUUCAAUAGUGAAAGACGGUUUUGCUGUCACUUAUAGAUGGAUCCGCGCCGCAUUAGCUAGUUGGUAAGGUAACGGCUUACCAAGGCAACGAUGCGUAGCCGACCUGAGAGGGGGAUCCGCCACACUGGAACUGAGACACGGUCCAGACUCCUACGGGAGGCAGCAGUAGGGAAGCUUCCGCAAUGGGCGAAAGCCUGACGGAGCAACGCCGCGUGAGUGAUGAAGGUCUUCGGAUCGUAAAACUCUGUUAUUAGGGAAGAACAAAUGUGUAAGUAACUAUGCACGUCUUGACGGUACCUAAUCAGAAAGCCACGGCUAACUACGUG